rnacentral:tRNA from 1 species
GCCAGUAUGGUGUAGUGGUUUGAAUGUUGGACUAUGACUCUGGAGAUCAGGGUUUGAUUCCCCGCUCGAGCA